rnacentral:RNase_P_RNA from 1 species
GAAGCUGACCAGACAGUCGCCGCUUCGUCGUCGUCCUCCUUCGGGGGAGACGGGCGGAGGGGAGGAAAGUCCGGGCUCCAUAGGGCAGGGUGCCAGGUAACGCCUGGGGGGGAAGCCCACGACCAGUGCAACAGAGAGCAAACCGCCGAUGGCCCACGCACGUGGGAUCAGGUAAGGGUGAAAGGGUGCGGUAAGAGCGCACCGCGCGGCUGGUAACAGUCCGUGGCACGGUAAACUCCACCCGGAGCAAGGCCAAAUAGGGGUUCAUAAGGUACGGCCCGUACUGAACCCGGGUAGGCUGCUUGAGCCAGU